AACUAAUUUAGAGGAAUCAGAGUGACUGGAAUGUGAGCCAGACCACAGAUAAACAUAACAGUGGUGACGUGUUGCCAGAAAACACUGAAACAGACAGGACAGAGAGGUGUUCUCAAGACUAUUCUGUAGUCCACCAGUAGUGGAGGGAUAUAUACCCUGUGUUGAGAACACCCAAUGUCUGUUGACAGGUGAACAAAUUAAGACUAUAUAUUACAGUUGUGAGUGUUGCUACAGAGAGUGGAGACCAGUGGGAAACCCAUACAUUGUAAAGGACCUGUUUUUCUCAUUGUGAAUUGUGUUGUUGGAGGAUCUGGAGAGACUUUCUCCAGAAUACCAGAUGGUCCAUGGUCUGGAAGGAUGUGUGAAGUAUUCAGUGUUGCUAUACUACAUAUUCAGAGGACAUCUUUGUGCCAGUGACCUCUACAAGGACAUGCUGAGUGACAUUAAUGGGUUCAAGUCCUACAGGUCCAAGAACUCACUCUCCUGAGUGACUGCAAUGGUAGCUAAGUUGCCAAAGCCACUUAGGAAGAUUUGGAAAAUGCUCAAAUGUGUUCGUGAAAAGAUAAAGAGUGCUGAUGAAAAGAUAAGGAGCAUUAGUAAACAGCCCGGAUCCAAACCGGCGAGUCCAUCUGCCCCAGAGCCACUGCAGAGGGAGGGGGACAAUAUGGCAGAACGGCGCAUCCAACAACGCCAGGGUCGAAGGGAUCGCUUUCGAGGUAACGAAGGAGGACGAGGAGAUCAGCCAAGUAAAGCAGAAAUCAAACGCCGGUCUCGGAGUGAGGGGCCCACCAACAGGGUGACUCGUGAGAGACAACUUACAGAAGAAGGCAGGCAGGAUGACAAUUUCGCAUCAUAUGGGAAGAAAAAUGAGAAAAUUGUUGGUCCAAUAUGGGCAGUUACUCACAGUUCUACUGCCACACGGAUGUCACGGUAUUCACCACCCUUAUCAGAUGAUGGGAAUCAGAUUCAUGUGCAGGCUCAGAGACCAGCAGGAAGUGACUCAGACUCUAAUGAAAGUGACACAAAAGUGUGGACCAAAAAUCCUCUUGUUAUGAGGAAGACUAAGAGAACUGGAAAAAUAGAGAAACGCCAGUCGAACAGUGAAAAUGGGUUUUCAACAGGGAUACCAACACCUAUCAAAACUAAUCGUGAAAGUUUUGUGUACUGUGGUUCUCAAGACAAGGGGGAUAGUGGUGGUGGGGGGGGCAGUUUAAAAGGGAACAAAUACCAAAAGCUUGAAGAAUUAAGGCGGAAACGAAUUGACAUACAAAUGACAUCUGAUGAGGAAAACACUCCUGAGUCACGGAUAUCUCGACUCAGACAGCGUGCAAUUCAAAGUGGCCUUGGUAAACAGCCAAGACCAGAUAGUUUCAGACAAAGUGCAGUCAUACCAGGAAGUCCAACACAACAUUACUCCCCCAAAUCUCAAGGGGCUUUCUUCCAGAAUGGUUCAUCUGAUCCCAGAUCUGGCGGGACCUCCCAACAAACAGGGAAUCUAAGGUCCUCCAUCACACAGUCAUCUUACCAAGGCGUGAAUGGUGCUCCUUCAUCCUCUGCAUAUGGUUCACCGUAUGGAGCAAAGCCAACUAGUCAGAGUGGAGGCCAAAAUAGACAGCCUCUUAUUCGUCCUUUUGAUCCUAAAGGUUUUUCUGAUUCUGGGAUACCCACAAGGAUUGAUGCUCCAGCUAAUGCUAACAGGUUUUCCCAACACAAUGAGGUUCGUUCUCCUGUGACAAAGACUGCAGUGUACAACAGUUCCCCUGAGGUGGUCAAGCGGCCAUUUGACCGUCCCCGUGUGCCGUCUGUGGACUCUAUAUAUGAAGGAAGUAGCAACCAGCAGCCUGAGCUUCACUCGCCAGGCGUGGAUUAUAGCAGGAAAUUUGGUGCUGGUACUACCUACCAGAAUGUUGGCCAUGGUUUUGUGUUCAUGAGGCCAGCAAGCAGUGGGACAAUGGAGGUACCAAAAGGAGAAUUAGUUCAUGCGCCUGUGCGUCAAGGGCUAGGACAGAAAUCACCAUCAAACUUUAAUGAGGUGGUGGAGCUACGGUUGAAGACCAGUCGUCUCAUAGAUAGACCUCCUUCACAAAGUGUCCUCGAUCAGCAGAGGAAGUUACGAGCUAAUAUAGCAGCCAAUAGUGAUGACUCAUUAGAUGAACUAAUAGAGUCCAACAUUCAGUAUCUAGAAAGUGAGAUAGAAAGUGGACGUGCUAAGAAAGGCUCUGCAUCAGUGUCCAGAUCAGCCAGUUUACCAGAUCCGAGGAGGAGUUCUGGCCAUUAUACCAGUGUACGAUCAGGUCCCCUACAUUCUGGGGUCCUCCCUACAUCCUAUGCAUCUACCCAACAGCAAAGAACAACCCAUACUAUCCCCUCACAGCCCCAUAUAAAAGCUGGUAGUGAACUCAAGUACCAUAUCCCUAUUCCAGGGAAUCAGCCACAACCGCCUGACAUUCGGAUCGCAAGUGAGAACAGAUUUGAUUCUGGUGUUUAUUAUGGUAUUAGUCCAACUGCCCCCAACCAGAGAAAUAGUACCUCAUCUUCGUCAGGGUACUCCGCCUAUGGUAUCCCAUCAGAACGUAAACUAUCAUAUGAUAGUAGAUCAGUUAUACCUACCAGUGACAUCUCUAGAGAUGCCUUCUCCAAGUCCGACACACAGCUGAAUGCAGCUCCAGCAAUACCAUCAUUCAGGGAGGGUGCUCUGCAUCCAUCAUAUGUGCAUCCUAAGUCUAGUUCAGCAGACCAACUACAGCCGGAUGGAGCUGUCAUCUCAGACAGUUUGAACAUUCCUCACCUGGACCGUGGUAUGUUUUCAGAUGUUGAUUAUGACAUUGAAGUGUCAGAAAGAGUGAACAGGUGGGAAACAUACAUGAAAAAGAGGAGUGAUCCUGAUCUUGGAACCAUCCAAGAGAGGAAUGAGCAGGAUUUGCUGCCAAGAAACAUUCGUAGAUCAGUGUAUAUGGAGCAGAAACUUGAGAUACCACAGUCCCCAGUUGGCCCUGUGUCCCAGAGCUUCACCUGGAGUAAUCUGCGCACUCUCAAACCAUCCAGUUCUGACCCAAUGAUACACCUUGCUGCAGAUCCUCAGAUGAUAGCUCAGGAGACCAAGAGCUUAUUCCACCUGAUUAGAGAGCCAGUGUCAGGUGCCCAGUACCACACUACAAGUGCAGUGAGCACUUUCUAUCACGCACCAGUUCCACAGCUAGCUACUGGUGGUUUAUUGACUGCAGCAGAAUUGCGCGAACAAAUGCUAGCCAACAAACAGCCUGCUCUCCAGCCAGCUACCCAUGGUGUUCCAGCUAUUACUGCAAAUGGUGGGAAAUGUGUUUCUCGUUAUGAAGAAUUGGAGGAACUGAAAGAUGCUAAGAGUGACAGUGUAAGGGAUUUGUGUAGAAGGUUUGAUCUGGACUUUCAACUAGAUUCUGACAGUCAGCUUCAAGGACAGUUACCAUCAAAGCAUGAUGACGAUACUGACUGGUCAAAACUUAUAUCUGACCUAGAAGAUAAAAUCAAAGAAACAGAGGUUUGGUCUCCUAACAUGGAGAGCAACAAGGGAGAUAUGGUCAGCAUAGAAAGAGUGAAAGCAAGAACAUUACAAACAAUACCCUUCUCAGAGGACCCUUUCUGGAAAGAAAUCGAGGAAAUGACAAGUUUUGAAAAAAUGUUUAAUGGAACAGGUUUAGAUGACCCUCUAUCUUUUAGACAGCAUCAGCUUGAUUAUCCCCAUAGUCAGAGCUACACACUUCCCACCCAACCUCGUACUUCAGCUAGGGAUAGAAUGCAUAGGUCAAAGUCACUUUACACACCCAAUAUAACUCCUUUAACCAUUUCUGUAGAUAAAUAUAGUGCCCCCAGUGCGUUAGAUGAUGUCUUAGAUGACAUCAAAACAUCCCUUGAGAAACAAUCAAGCCCUAAAGUAAGGAAGGCUGGGGACAGCUCUGACUCACACAGGUCUUCUCCAGGCCCACCUUUCCCUGAGGUGAACAUCUCAAGCUCUUUGAGACCUAGAAUGUAUGCUGAUGUGUCCAGGAGCUACUGGGAUGAUACUCACCUGGGUGCAGCACCAAGUGUGGCCCCUGCUCCAGCUCCAGCUCCAGCUCCAGCUCCUGCUCAAGGUUUGUUGUUGACAUAUGCCGCUCAGCAGCCAGCCCAGCCUGUUCUUGGAAUGCAGGAGUACCCCAAUGUUGUGAAUGGCAACUAUCAGCUUGACCCUAAUAUACUCAAACAGAAACUGCUUAACACUGGUCUUGCGCAGGGCCAGCUUCUGAAGUCACCUGGACGCAUUCGACCCAAGCCGCCUCCUCCGCUUAUCAUACCACAAAGCUCCCAGCAGCCCCCCACCUUGUUCUCAGUAACCCAUCCUGCUCCGCUGAAGUCCCAGCCUGUACCACCCCGCAAUGUGCCUUCCUCUGAAGAAAAGAUUAAUCAGGUAAAUCAGUCUAUGGAGGAUCUGAGACAAAUUGCUAAAGAUGUUGAAAGUAAAAUUAAUCAAAUAAAAACCAAACUAGUUAGAGCUGAUGAAAAGAACCUUGAUAAAAUUUUGCUGGCCCUUAGAAAGUUUGCUCCAGCAGCAAGUCCAAAAUCAUUUGAACCUCGUAAUGAAUCUUUUCAAGAUUUUUAUGUGAAAAAAAAGUCCAAACUGUCAGAUGCCCUAACCGAACUUGAACGCAUUUACAAGAGUUUGAAUCUUGAUGAUGAAAGUCUGCUGGAUAGGGCAGAGAGAAGGGACUACCCAUCCUACAGGUCACAGGGACCACCUCAGGCUCCUAGUAUUACAGAGAGACCUGAGCAGAAGAUUGAAACCAGCAGUAUCUCCUUCCAAGUUGCAAAACCAGACAGAUUUAGUGGCAAAGAACCUGAAAGAAAGUCUGAGGCAGACUAUGAGGCCAUCUCAAAGUCAUUUCAGGCCAUACUUGAUGAAGUGAAUCAGACGUCAGCUGUCAUAGCAGGGCCCAGCAGGAUGCAGACAUCUCCAGGUAAUAUUGUGCCCAGGUUUAACUACCCUCCUCAAACAGGACCAAGUCCCGAGCCAGUAAGGAAAAUAUCGGCACCACAGAUGUCUCCAGUAUCAUCCAUAAAUUUUCAGCCAAAGCCUGAAGUUGCUGUCAGUCCAGAUCCACAAAGAAAAACCUUAAUGAGAACUGGCAUUCCUCGACCUUUGAACCUUCCAGUGGUAAGUCCUGACCCAGGCAGGAAGGCUCUGGCCCUCAUGUCAACAACAGCCAAGGUCGUUCAGCCAGGAACACAACGCACUGUCACACAGGAACCCCUGAUACCACGACAACUAGCACAAGAGCCUCUCAUAGGGAAGUCAGGGAAAGCUAUGGUUCCAAUUCCCAAGAAGGGUAGUAGUUUAGAUGAACCACAAAGGCAUAAUUUGUCGGCAAAUGUGAGUAAGUUGAUGACUCAGAGUGGGAUUCCCCCUGAAACUCAAAGUCAGAGUGUUUCAAUCGUGCUGAAGUCCCCUGGAGCACCAUCAACAAGCAGCUCCCAGCCUGCCAUGUCGGUCAGCUCCUCCCAGACACCCCAAGCAGUAGCUCCUAGAGACAGAAAGGCACGCGGCAGGUUUCGCUCCAAGAAUCCUGAUUUGGUGGAUGAUGAUGUAGCCAUUAGGAAAGCCAGGUCCAAGUCAACCCCACGAGCAGAGACACAGUCAACAGGAGUGUCUCCUACAACAGCUGAUUACCUCAAGCCAAGGGAAUCAUCACCACCUCAGUCACAUCUCAGACUUCGACCAGAGAAAGAUGCCGACAUUAUGCAUGAUGACCUGGCUUAUCGUUCUCUGCGCAAGGAUGUUGCCACAGAAACACCGAAACAAACAACAGCAACAUCAACAGUGGAAUUUCAGAUAAAGCAGCCAGCAACGCCACCAUCACUUGCAAAAUUUGAAAAGCCCUUUGACAUCCAUGCUGCUAAAGUGAGUGAGAAGAAACCUCCUUCACCCCAUGGUUCUCCCAAACAGCGGACAGUGGAGACCCAGACAUCAUCACAGGAACUGAAGAAGAAAACUCUUCGUGGUCGACAUCCUCAUCUAAAGAAUGAUGCCUCCAGCUCGGAGAGCUCAGAUAGUAAACGUCGGCCGGCUAAGAUAGGUCGAGGAAUUGCCAGAAUGGUUGAAAUUUUUAGCUCAAGUGAUGAGGAAAAGAGUCGGAAAUCCAAACCCCUUCAUACUCGAAGUGCUCCUGACUUGACUCUAGCCUUCACUGAUGAUGAUGAUCUGGAUCUGAAAGAUGAGUCGAGAGAAAGUGAUAUUGGUUCUAAAACGCUGGGGCACGUUAAGACACCGAUGGAUGUGAGUGUUUCAGACAAAGUUGUGAGCAGUGAAACAUCCGAGGUUUCCACUCCCACAUCUCCCAGUGCUAAACCUCCCGUCCACCCGCUGAAGAAGCAAGCUGCCAGCCCCGAGAAGACAGUUGUCGUUCCAGAGCAGAAAGUCGUGAAAGAUGUGAGUGGGAAGAGUGAGGUAGACAAUUUGGAAAAAGUAUUUGUGUCAAGUAGAGGUAAGCGUGGUAAAUCAGCUGAAAGAGGAGCAGAGAGUGAUAGUGCUAUUCUAGAAAAGCCUGAGAGACCAAAGAGUUUCCAUGAACUACUGGCAUCAUUUGAGCCAAAUACGAAUCGCCUCCAGCGACUGAAGACAUUACGGAAGUGUGCAUCUGAAGAUAUCGUGAUGCCCGAGACUGUGGUGCAGCGGACAUACCACUCCCAGCCCUACCACUCCGAGCCGCACCUGGCAGAGCAGCGAGAGAAGGCACCAACCAGAGAAGGUAGAGCUUGUCUAAAAGUUCAGUUGACUGUAGUGGGAUAGUGUAACAAUAACAUCACCAGUACACUGUCACGGGCACAUGACUCUAGUAACCAGAUUCAUUGAAGACAUUCAUGUCACUUUGUUUUUUAAUCUAACAGUGCUCUUCUUUAUAUCCAUAUAUUCACAUGCAGGUUGUGAUUUUCAAAAUAUUGAUUUUCCUUUGUUAUUAUUUAUUGAAAGUUAUGUGGUUUUGUGUGAAACAGCAUUGUACUGUAUUCUAGAUAUUGAUGUAUUGGAGACUUCCUGUCUGUAUGUAUGCUGUUUAUGUGCAUGUGUACCACAACACAGGAUACAUUCACUACACAAACUGCGUCUUUUGAAUGACUGACUCAAGUUCAGUUUUUGUGGAUCAUACUACUUGUGUGAAUUGGUAUUACAAUCACCAUAGAUAUAUGCCAUCUUCCUGGUGCCAAUGGUGGACCUAAUGCCUGAGAUUACAUCACAGAGAGUGGUGGGUUAAUGAGAUGUGUAGAUCAGUGAAGCCAAUGCAUAAAUAGAGACAUGUAUCGGGUGUUGUGGUAUACAUCAGAUUGGACAGUGUUUAUGUCUAACACCAUGUGGUGACUCAUGUGGGGGGAACUGAUGAUCACGGACUUGUGUCAUUCAAGCGGGGAGGGGUUGGUGGUGCUGCCAACAUCAGAUAACAGCUGAACCCUGUUCUAAAAAAUUAUCAGUACAGAACUGUUAACUGAUCUUUAAGUAGCAUAUUUAUCUUCUGUUUUGAAAGAUUUCUUUUGAGGUUAAUUUUUCAAUUUUAAAUAAACACUUUGUGGGAAAGGUGGGCCACGUGAUCAUCAGAGGUCGCCCAGUAAGGUACAUCAUAUGGAGGAGGGUAUCAGGUGUUGAUGGUGUCCUGCUUCUUUCAGAGGUUCGCAGCUGGAGGCUAGCUGUGCCUUAACAUUCAAAGGGAGCUGCGAUGUCCCCUGCAUCUAGGAAUGUCGUCUGCACAGCUCAGUCUCGCAUGAACUUUAAGUCAGAACUGGUUCUCAGAGUCGGCAUGUGUACACUUUGAGUG
rnacentral:misc_RNA from 1 species